rnacentral:tRNA from 1 species
GCCGGAGUGGUGGAAUUGGUAGACGCAGAGGACUCAAAAUCCUCCGUUCGCGAGAAUGUGCGAGUUCAAGUCUCGCCUCCGGCACCA